rnacentral:rRNA from 1 species
AUUGAACGCUGGCGGCAUGCCUUACACAUGCAAGUCGAACGGUAACAGGUCUUCGGAUGCUGACGAGUGGCGAACGGGUGAGUAAUACAUCGGAACGUGCCCGAUCGUGGGGGAUAACGGAGCGAAAGCUUUGCUAAUACCGCAUACGAUCUACGGAUGAAAGCAGGGGACCGCAAGGCCUUGCGCGAACGGAGCGGCCGAUGGCAGAUUAGGUAGUUGGUGGGAUAAAAGCUUACCAAGCCGACGAUCUGUAGCUGGUCUGGGAGGACGACCAGCCACAAUGGGACUGAGACACGGCCCAGACUCCUACGGGAGGCAGCAGUGGGGAAUUUUGGACAAUGGGCGCAAGCCUGAUCCAGCAAUGCCGCGUGCAGGAUGAAGGCCUUCGGGUUGUAAACUGCUUUUGUACGGAACGAAAAGGCUCUGGUUAAUACCUGGGGCUCAUGACGGUACCGUAAGAAUAAGCACCGGCUAACUACGUGCCAGCAGCCGCCGUAAUAC